rnacentral:tRNA from 1 species
GGUAGUGUGGCCGAGCGACAGGCGGCGAGUUGUAGCCUCGCAGACCGGGGGGUACCCCGCACGACCAGGCC